rnacentral:rRNA from 1 species
CAGUAGCCGCGGUAAUACGUAGGGUGCGAGCGUUAAUCGGAAUUACUGGGCGUAAAGGGAGCGUAGGCGGCGUGGUAAGUCAGAUGUGAAAUCCCGGGGCUCAACCCCGGAACUGCAUCCGAUACUGCCGUGCUAGAGGAUUGGAGAGGUAGCUGGAAUUCUUGGUGUAGCAGUGAAAUGCGUGGAGAUCAAGAGGAACACUCGUGGCGAAAGCGAGCUACUGGACAAUAUCUGACGCUGAGGCUCGAAGGCCAGGGUAGCGAAAGGGAUUAGAUACCCCGGUAGUCCCUGUCUCUUAUAA